rnacentral:tRNA from 1 species
UGAAGUACAAUCGAAAGACUAACUGGGGUCUGGAUCAGAAGGAUGCUGCGGAUAC